rnacentral:tRNA from 1 species
GUAAUGGUUAAUGGUCAGCAUGGAUGCCUUCCAAGCAUUCGACGGGGGUUCGAUUCCCCCC